AAGGUCUCCCUCGUUGUUGCUCCUCCUACAAUCUCUCCCACAAUGGCAUACAGGAGGAGCAGAAGGGGCCACGGAUGAGGAGGAAGGAGACUAGCAGGAGGAGGAGAUAUUCUUGUUCGAUUUGGUUCUCAUGCUGGCAUCUCCCUGCUGUCUGCUUUCCUUUUGGUUUCCAACUUUGAUGCUUGGAUUUGUUGUCUUGGCCAGCAGGAGUGGGAGGAGACAGGGAGGAUAAGGAAGGAGACAAGCAGGACGAAGAGAAAAUCUUGCUCGCCUUAUGGACUCGCAAUAAACAGGUCCACAGGAAAAAUUCCUGAACGAUUUUGGUAUCCCCGGAUUUUUCUUCCCCGCGAUGAGGUUAUACUUACCCUACCCUCUGUCCAUGU